CUCCUCUGUGGAGAUUGGAUAGCCAGCCUCAGCAUUUUCCAGCCAGACUGAAGGCAUCCAUAUUGAUGUUCAUAAGGCAAGAUGUGGGGAACAGGUGUCAGAUCUCAGAUUUCUUGGGCUAGAGUCAUAGAAGAGUGCUUUUCCUUCAGGUCAAAUCUUGGUCCUCUCAGGUGGUGCAGACAGAAAUUAAUGCAACAAGUGAAAUCAUCUGAAACUUUAUAAAAUCUGGUCCAAAAUGAUUUGCUCUAUUUCUGAAUCACUCAGUGACAAACCUUAAGACUUGAAGAGCAGAUGAUGUUUUUUUUAUCUAUCACUCCCACUGCACAAAAUUUGGAAAGAAAAUGUAGGGGAUGUGUCUCCACAAACAAGAACCAAUGCAGAGACUGCAGACAUGCACAGAACUUGUCCACUCCAGCAUUGUCAAUACUACUGAUUACAGAGAGCAUCUCACCAAGACUCUCAUUCUGAGAAUCACCCUUGUGAAAUGCUGAAGAUGAUGGAGAAGAUGAAGCAAUGGUUAUUUGAUGUGUACUUGCACAGGUACCAGUGACAGUGUCAGACAGUAGUUCCAAAGCAACGGAGGCAGAUAUAAGGUGCCUUGACUGUAAUGGGAAAGAAUGACUCUGUGAUAUGUGCCCUAGUUCUUCUGUGCUUACCCUAAGCAUCUGUUUCUGGUCACUAUAAGAAGGGGAAUACUUCUCAGGCACAUAAAUGGAAGACUGGACAUACCAGGAUGGACUAAAAGGUCAGAGCCCAGUUUCCUAUGCUCAUCCCUCUACUGGUGAUGUUACCCUUUAACUAAGAGCCUGAGCCACUGAAACAAAUCCAUUUUGAAGACAAAAUUGCACUGUGGUCUUCUAACAACAAAAUUACAAGUGAGAAUAAUAUGAAGAAAAAUCAAAACAACUGGAGAAUGGCUGUAGUGAGAGAAUAUAAGCAGAAGUAUGCUUACAUUCAAAUUAUAUUUAUUAAUAUUUUUAGCAAAUGUAAUAAAGAGUGUCUCAGUGCCUUUAUCAGAAUCUCAAAAUAUAAGGAAACAAACUUCUUUUUUUACCAAGAAUCUCCAAUAUCAAAACUAAUAAUCAGAAGAGUGAAGAAAAAUGAUUCCUCAGGAAACUUAAAAAUGUUUUAAAAUGAGCUGUAAGCCCUAUCUUGCAUGUCAGUCAUGUUAAUGCAUAUGUUUCCAAUUUGAAGAUGAAGAGUUUUGUCAGAAGACUCCUUAUAGACAAUGUCUUGCCAGCUCUUGCCAAGAUUAAGAGUUCAGUGCUUUCUUUCUGAUAAUAAGGGAGGAAUUCAGUGCAGCUGUGAAAGUUAGGAAAGACAUUACAAGGAGGAUGAAAGAAGGACACAAGAAAAUGUGAUACUCAUUGUUAAAAGUCUGUUAGAUGUGGGGAGCAGUUAAAUUAGAUGUUAUAUUGUAAGAUGAGUCCAAAAUCCUGGAAGCAUGAACAAGCAUUAAAGUUUAUCAGCUUAGAAUGAGAAUCUUGGUGUAAUACUCUGUGUAAUCAGUAGUAGUGGCAAUGCUGGAGAGCACAAGACAAGUUCUGUGCUUGUCUGCAAUCUCUUUUUGCGUUGGUUCUCAGAGCUCAUGGGGUCUGGUACAAUGUGAGGCUUUCUCCAUGGUCUUGAGACUAAAAAAUAGCCCAAGGCUGGAGAGUGAAAUACUAAGUUAGGUCUGCCUCUCCAACUGUCCAAAGCUUGUGCUGUUGGCCCCAUGGGACCAUUGCUAGUGUCCGUUGCUUACAGCUUUAGAGAAGAACAUGAGCUUCUUGUGGUGAAAAGAGUGGUUGCCUCUUCCAAGAGGAGAUAAUGGACUGCAUCUUACACAUGAAUAGUUAUUCACACAGUAAGAAUGAGAAGAAAAUACAUUUUUCCUCUUUAGCUGAAUAUUCCACUCAUUUCUUUUCUGCUCUAGGGCUUCCAGCUUUCUAACCUGAUGAGUUAUGGACGGUCAUUCUUUCCAGCGUUAGCUAAAUUCUUUUCUAAUUAUACAUGUUCUGAACAGCACGAGGCAGACCUGCUGGUAGAACAUUUGGUGCAGAGAGCAUAAUAAAUUCCACAGAGAGCUUGACAUGCCUUGCCAUAGAUGCAAUAUUCAUUUUCAUCACCAUAGAAGAGAUGAGACACUGAGCCAGAGUUUAAAAAACUGCCGUGCUACUUUACCAGGGUGUGUGGGUGGGAUUAACAUCGGCUGUUCAGUUGAAAGGCUGCCUUGUAAAACAUCUUCACUAGAAUUAAUAUCUAGACAUUUGUAGAUCAUAUUUUACCAACACAAAAGGGCAGAAGAUGCAAUUAAAAACAGAUCUAUAAGAUACAAAAGAACUGUCACAAUUUUAGCAUAAAAUUGAUAACAGCACAUUGAAAAUAGCAAACAGAAAGCAUAAACUAUGUUAGGAAGUUUUAACACAAUUUUUUUCUUAC